rnacentral:misc_RNA from 1 species
UUAAGGAAUCCUUAUUCUUCAUUGUGACAACUGAAGUACUCAGAAUUUAUUUAAGUCUAACCAUGACAACCACCAAAUUGUUUGGACCAAUCUAAAAUACCCAAAAAAUUGGAAAAAAACAAGUUUUUUUUCCAAGGAAUAAAACAGGUUGUGAAAAUAAAAAUGGAUAAAUUUCAUUCAGGAAUAAUAAUAAUAAUAAAACAAAA